rnacentral:rRNA from 1 species
GAUGAACGCUGGCGGCAUGCCUAACACAUGCAAGUCGAGCGGCAACACCGUGAGAUUUUGCUUUUACCGUUAGCGACUGGCGGACGGGUGACGAAUGCAUCAUACUCUUCUUUUUCGUGGAGGAUAACGUAAGUAAACUUACUCUACUACAGCAUAUCAUCUACCGGUUAGAUCAGUGGAUCUUUUCACCUUUUGUGUUUGUACUAGAUGAGGUCGGAUUUGAUAGUUGGGGGGGUAAAGGAAAAGCAAGGCGAGGAUGCGUAGCCGAUCUGAGAGGAUGAUCGGCCACACUGGAACUGAGACACGGUCCAGACUCCUGCGGGAGGCAGCAGUAGGGAAUAUUAGACAAUGGGCGAAAGCCUGAUCCAGCCAUACCGCGUGAGUUAAGAAGGCCUUCGGGUUGUAAAGCCCUUUUGUUGGGAAAGAAAAGCUGCAUAUUAAUACCCCGCUGUUCUGACGGUACCCAAUCAAUAAGCACCGGCUAACUUCGUG